AUUGAACGCUGGCGGCAUGCUUUACACAUGCAAGUCGAACGGUAACAGGCCGCAAGGUGCUGACGAGUGGCGAACGGGUGAGUAAUGCAUCGGAACGUGCCCAGUCGUGGGGGAUAACGCAGCGAAAGUUGCGCUAAUACCGCAUACGAUCUAUGGCUGAAAGCGGGGGACCGUAAGGCCUCGCGCGAUUGGAGCGGCCGAUGUCAGCUUAGGUAGUUGGUGGGGUAAAGGCUCACCAAGCCGACGAUGUGUAGGUGGUCUGAGAGGACGACCAGCAACACUGGGACUGAGACACGGCCCAGACUCCUACGGGAGGCAGCAGUGGGGAAUUUUGGACAAUGGGCGCAAGCCUGAUCCAGCAAUGCCGCGUGCAGGAAGAAGGCCUUCGGGUUGGAAACUGCUUUUGUACGGAACGAAACGGUCCUGGUUAAUACCCGGGGCUAAUGACGGUACCGUAAGAAUAAGCACCGGCUAACUACGUGCCAGCAGCCGCGGUAAUAC
rnacentral:rRNA from 1 species